UGUGCCCUACACUCACUGGAGAUCACUUUAUUGGCCAUUUUAACAGGCCAGUCUCUCCAAGGGUAGAAAGAGGUUCACAAAAUCACUGAGUUAUCCCACUUGGAGCUCCUGCUCCCAGACUGCUGGGCUGAGCCUCUGGUGAAGGCCUGGGUAGGGAGUAAGAGCUGUAGCUGAAUCCUUACCCUUUUUUGAUUAUUCACAGAUUUUCUUUCAGUUCUUUUCCCUUUUUUUCCUGCCAUCAUGAUUACCACCCUCAUUUACUCUCCUCUCCAAAGCUGCAAGCUUUUAAAGACGGUACAGAAAGAGAUUUAGGGUCUGGGAUAAAUUCUGGCUGAGACAACUUUGUUGGAUUUUUUUUCCCCCCUUUGAGGAUAAAUCCAGAGUUGUGCAAAACUUGAUUAUAUGUUAAAGAAACAUACAGUAUCCCAGAUAAACAGGGAAUAAGCUGGGGCUUAAAUACUUCACAGGGUUUCUGUUUCUGGUAAGGGUGGCUCUGCUUUCAGAAGGGCAAAGAGUCCCUACAGAAGUCCUGAGAGCCAGAGGCUUUGAAUUCCAGCCUGACUGGACUCUGCUUCCUCCUGUGACCUGCAGAAAACUGUGUAACACCACUGCAUUUGUUUCUUCCAUGUCCUGACACUGAAGUAGAGAUGCAAACGUUCAGACUAUGUUGGUUUGGGUUUUGGGGGAUUUUUUAGAGGCUUCAGACACGCGAGAGCAUGGAAUGCAUAUUUUGUAAUGCUGUUGUCAGCUGGAUUGUGGGGAUGCUUUGGUUCCCCAUCCUGGCUGGGCUGAGGGGAUGUCAGUGGAGCUCAGGCUGUGCUGGGGAGGAUGAGGUGCUGUUGUACAGGUCUGUGGUAGUGCUGGGGAGGAUGAGGUGCUGUUGUCCAGCUCUGUAGUGGUGCUGGAGAGGAUGAGGUGCUGUUGUCCAGCUCUGUGGUGGUGCUGGGGAGGAUGAGGUGCUGUUGUCCAGCUCUGUAGUGGUGCUGGAGAGGAUGAGGUGCUGUUGUCCAGCUCUGUGGUGGUGCUGGGGAGGAUGAGGUGCUGUUGUCCAGCUCUGUGGUGGUGCUGGGGAGGAUGAGGUGCUGUUGUCCAGCUCUGUGGUGGUGCUGGGGAGGAUGAGGUGCUGUUGUCCAGCUCUGUGGUGGUGCUGGCCAUGCAGACACUCGGGCAUUCCUGGCCCAGCUCCGGAGCUGCCUGGCCUAGACUCAGCCUGUGUCUGUUUGCACCUGUCUGCAGAGCUGCAUCUUCUGUUUCCCAUUAACUUGGUGUGUCUCCUUUAGAGAAGCACAAAGCUGUGGCUCUCAGCAGCUGGCUGCACUGGGACUGAAAUCCCAAGUACUGCUUUCUUGUCCAGGAAUUGGACUUGCACAGAGUUACUGACAGCUUUGGCUGAUUACCCUGUGGGGUGUUCUCCUCUCCCAUCCCAGACAGAGCCAUUGAAAGGCUUGGAAUGAAAAUGGAACAAAAUAGCAUUAGAUGGGGAGCUGAGUUGCACAGGCUCUGCAUCCAGAGCUGAGGGGUGUCUCUUCUGGGUUCAGCUGGGAAUAUUGCCUUUCUUUCUCUGCCCUUUGCCCCCACAGGGUUUCAUAGUCCCUUGGCAGAUCCAGACUCCUGGUUUUACAGUUCAUAUCCCCUUUCUGAAAAGGGAAUGCAAGGCCCUGCUGUGCCCUUGGGAGACAGAUCCUGUGGGAUGGAGCUGGAUACUGAGGAACUGGCUGGAGAGGAGAUGCUGUUUUCUCUACUACAAAUCCUGCAGCCUGUUGUGCAGAACGUGCUGCCUGGCUAUUGUCCAGUUUCUCUUCUCCUUUCCAUUCCACACCCUUUCCAUGCACAAGCCUAACAAUUCAAAGGCUAAAUAACUUGCAAAUCUCCCAGGCUAAUGUGAAUUUUAGUUAUUCUUUGAAAUAGAGGUUUUUUUCCCUUCUCCCUGUCUUUUUUAUUUUUAAAACCAACACUAGGUCUUAGGAGAUUUUAAUCCUAACAUUAGAAUGAGGCUGUACUUUAUAUUUCUCCACAAUUUUAAACGAUGGUUUUCACAAUAGCUGCAAUAGCAAGGAAUUGGUGUCAAAAAGCAAAAGUAAUUUAGGGAUUAGCCUUGAGGGAAAUUGAGCAAUUAAAGUGUGUGUGGAGUUAAGCACAAGAAACAUUCCUAGGCAUCAGCAGAAAUCCAUGGAUUGAGGGCCUGCUCUUAGUCUCUAGUAAAGGGGAAUUACUGAGGUUUCAGCUUGUGUGUUUCUACCUUGCACUUUGUAAACUUCAAAGCACACACAUGGGCUUGGAGACUGGAACAUCCACAUGUGCCUUGGAGGGAAAUUUGUGUUAGAGCAUUUUACAGCUCCCAUCAUGUGAGCCACUCUGAUUCUGCGAGUCCGGCUGUGAGUGGGGCAUCAGUGAGUGCCUCUGUGCACCCAUAGGUGCUGCACAUACAGGCUUCUGAGCUCAGCUGAGAUUGCAGCCAAGGAAAGCUGAUCUAAGCUGUGCUACUGCAAUUGCAGGGGUUAAUGCACGCUUCGGGACUUCCCAGUGGUUCCUGACAGGGCUGACAGCAGGAUAAGGGUUUUAAAUUCACCAGUGGUCUGGGGAAGCUGCUCCCUGAGAAGCCUCUGAAGGGAGAUUGCGUGGUUUGCAGUCCCUGUCUGAGGUCCUGCUAGCUCUGCCCAGGAGGAUUUCAUAGCAUUCCUCUUCCCAGUCCCUGGUGACGUAGGAAACCCUAUUUAAUUUGAUGCAUUAUUACAAGUGAAAGCCAGUUUCCCAGAAGAAGGGAAGUUAAGACAUCUGUUUAAAAGAAUACGGUUGCUAAAGAAAAAUGGCUUACCAGAAGAAUCCCAGAGCAGUGCUGGGAAGGCUGAUCUAAGAGCAUUUGCUGGGAUCUGACGGUGGCUCUCAUCAGCGGAGCCGACUCCAGUUUAAUUUCCGUGAGGUUGUUUUAUAUCCCUGGGCUUUCCACCGCCGGACGCUGACAGCAGCGAGCUGGCAGUCCCCUUCAGGCAGAGUCCCUGAUUGCACACACAGGGACUGAUCUUUCAUAAAGCAUUUCUUUGUAUUUGCCCUCUCUGGCCACCCCUGUGGAAAGAAGCUGCCCCAAAGGGUUUGUGCCCCUGGAGACGGGCGGCGUCAGCUUUGCUCCUCCCUAGCUGUCCAUGUGCUGGUGAGAGCAGCUUGGGGAUGUCUCCAGGUUGUCUUGCCUGGAUUCCUGGAAAAUCUGAUUGCUUUGGCCCCUGUGGAAAUCAGACCAAGUCAGAAUGGUGGGGUUUAGCCAUAAAGUAGAUGUUCCAUUGCCUAGUGCCAAACGACUGAUUCUGAUCUCCUUCAGAUUCAUCACUUGCUGAUGGCUGCUUGUCAGCCUUUGCCAUAUGAGUUAGAAUCUCAGCAUCACUGCACUUGGAAAAGCCCUCUAAGGUCAUUGACUCCAGCUGUUCCCCCAGCACUGCCAAGGCAGCACUGGCCCAUGUCCCCAAGUGCCACAUCCACAGGGCUUUAAAUCCCUGCAGGGAUGAGGACUGCACCACUUCCCUGGGCAACUGUACUGGGGCUGGACAGCCCUUUAGGGAAGGAAUUCUCCCUAACACCCAACCUAAACCUUCCUUGGCACAACUCAAGGUCAUUUCCUACUGCUUUACUUUGGGCUUAAUUCCUGUGUAUGACACGUGCUCCUUGAACCCAAAGCAUUCCUUUCCAGGAGUGCAGUGGGAAGGCUGCUGUGGGGAGGUCUUUGGUGUAAAGGUGGCUUAACCAUCAUCAUCAUCAUCAUCAUCAUCAUCAUCAUCCUCCUCUGCUCCCUUCCCC